CACCACUCAAGCCUGGCUUGGUAUUGGGCGCCGCGUCCACCGCGCGCCUCAAAGUCUCCGGCUGAGCCGUCCGUCUCCGAGCGUUGUGGCGCACAUCGUUUCGCUUAGGAUGACGGCGGCCGCGGCCGUUAAAUCUUUCAUUCA
rnacentral:misc_RNA from 1 species